CUAGUCUUAUCGGAGGAUCACUCUCCUCGU
rnacentral:rRNA from 1 species